AGCGAACGCUGGCGGCAGGCCUAACACAUGCAAGUCGAACGAACCUUUCGGGGUUAGUGGCGGACGGGUGAGUAACACGUGGGAACGUGCCUUUAGGUUCGGAAUAACUCAGGGAAACUUGGGCUAAUACCGAAUGUGCCCUUCGGGGGAAAGAUUAAUCGCCUUUAGAUCGGCCCGCGUCUGAUUAGCUAGUUGGUUGAGGUAAUGGCUCACCAAGGCGACGAUCAGUAGCUGGUCUGAGAGGAUGAUCAGCCACAUUGGGACUGAGACACGGCCCAAACUCCUACGGGAGGCAGCAGUGGGGAAUCUUGCGCAAUGGGCGAAAGCCUGACGCAGCCAUGCCGCGUGAAUGAUGAAGGUCUUAGGAUUGUAAAAUUCUUUUGCCGGGGACGAUAAUGACGGUACCCGGAGAAGAAGCCCCGGCUAACUUCGUG
rnacentral:rRNA from 1 species